CGUUUAGAGUGGAGAAAGAUAAUCUAUAUAGCCGACCCUAAAUUUUUGGAAUAAAUGCUUAGUUGAGUUCAGUUCAGUUCAGUUGAGUUGUGAUAUGUGAUUCCUUCACUAUUUGGCAUGUUGCUUGAAAUAUUGUUAACUUUCCAAAAUAUAUAAUGCUCUAUCCUUUCUUCACGCCUUGAGGAAGAUUUUAGAAUAUUAAUGUUGGGAAAUAUGCAGAAAUCACAGUGGAAUAUGUUGAAAAAACUGAAUGUUCAUUUAUUCUCUAUUCUUUUCAGGAUUUUGAGAAAGAAAUAAGAAAAGAA
rnacentral:misc_RNA from 1 species